rnacentral:rRNA from 1 species
GACGAACGCUGGCGGCGUGCUUAACACAUGCAAGUCGAACGGAAAGGCCCUGCUUUUGUGGGGUGCUCGAGUGGCGAACGGGUGAGUAACACGUGAGUAACCUGCCCUUGACUUUGGGAUAACUUCAGGAAACUGGGGCUAAUACCGGAUAGGAGCUCCUGCUGCAUGGUGGGGGUUGGAAAGUUUCGGCGGUUGGGGAUGGACUCGCGACUUAUCAGCUUGAUGGUGGGGUAGUGGCUUACCAAGGCUUUGACGGGUAGCCGGCCUGAGAGGUUGACCGGCCACAUUGGGACUGAGAUACGGCCCAGACUCCUACGGGAGGCAGCAGUGGGGAAUAUUGCACAAUGGGCGGAAGCCUGAUGCAGCAACGCCGCGUGCGGGAUGACGGCCUUCGGGUUGUAAACCGCUUUCGCCUGUGACGAAGCGUGAGUGACGGUAAUGGGUAAAGAAGCACCGGCUAACUACGUG